CGUGUAGGCGGUUUUACAAGCCUGGUGUGAAAUACCCCGGCUCAACUGGGGGAACGCGCUGGGAACUGUAAGACUAGAGUCACGGAGGGGAAGCUGGAAUUCCUGGUGUAGGGGUGAAAUCUGUAGAUAUCAGGAAGAACACCUGUGGCGAAGGCGAGCUUCUGGACGUUGACUGACGCUGAGGCGCGAAAGCGUGGGGAGCGAACAGGAUUAGAUACCCUGGUAGUCC
rnacentral:rRNA from 1 species